UAUGUCACUGAGCUUAUGGACCUCCCCUUUAAUAAAGUCAUCCAUGGCCCUGCACACCUUUGUGGUUGACCUGGAAGCGGUGGUUGUUCCUGGAUUCCUGUGUCCACAUACAGCAACCUGACAAGGCAGAUGCAAUUGUUAGCCAUUUGUCUGGGUCCAGCUGUCCAGAUGCAUUUCUAUUAAGAAAAAAGCCGAAUGGUGUGUAGUGGUGGUCAUGACGAUGGCCUGCCUCUGUGUUACUGUGACUUACCUCCUGCCUCAGCCCAUCCCUGCUCUUGAGCCCUACCAGCCUCCAUUUCAAAAAGGUACUCCUGAUGAAUACGGAGGGCAACGCAAGAGUGUCUGACAACCCAUGUGUGCUUUCCCCCUAGCACCAGCAAACAAAACAUCUGUAGGCCAGGUAGCGAGCACACCUGUAAUCACAAAAUAACAACAACAAAAAAAUUCCAUGUGAUAAUUUUAGAUUUUCUGUCUCAUAAUUGCAAAAAAGUCUGUCACUGUGGAGCUGUCUUUCUUAACUAAAUAUCGAUAUCUCUCUUUGUAGAAGAACAUCUUUGAAACUUGACGCAUUAAACAAAAACAGCCUUCAAGUCUUAUUUUUUCUCUCCAUUUUGGUCAUGUCUUACGGAAAAUGACAACAGAAGAUGGCAGUUUGUCCAGUCGAAGGUUUGCAUGGUGAUAGUAACUAUUAUUCUACCACCAUUUGCAACCAAUGAUCAAUAUUGAAGCAGCAGAGGCUGAGAUAUCAUGAAUUUUAUCCUUUUAGUAUGGGUCCAACUACAAAACAAACAUUCUGGAUCCUACAGUUCCCAUAAUGCAACCCAAUAGCAUCUCUAAUUAGACCUUUUGUGACCUCUAAAUUCGCACAAAGCCAAAUCCGAGAUGACCCAGAUGACAUCACUACGACUUCAUAAGGGUUAUUUUUUUCAAACUUUGGACUUUAGUACACUGAACUUUAAUCCUGUGAGAGGGAAUUAUAAUUGACAUAAACACAAUGGAGGUUAAGUCUUCAUGCUUUCAAGGAAUAGUUCGACAUUUUGGGAAAUACUCGUUUUGCUUUUCUGAAACUUAAAUGACAAGAUCAAUACCACUGUCAUAUUAGUCCAGUAUAUACUAUAAGGCUA